GAAAGUGGCAAUCCUGCCGGAGCAGACCAUGAAUUUACGUUUCUUGAGUACAACCUUACCAUGGCGUAUCAUCGGACGAAUCUUUUGGUGCGAUAUGGAGAAAUAGAGUUUAUUGCAGAAUUGUUGAUUAUCGCUUGUUUGAGGCAAAUGGGAGUGUUGUAAAGUCCUGCUUAUGAGUUU